rnacentral:lncRNA from 1 species
CUUCCUCUUGCCCUGUCCUCCUUGGUUGCUGACAGUUGGUUUGUGGCAGAGGGGAAUUCCAGCCCACUUUAGGGGAAUGAAGAGAAGGUGAAGUCCAGGAGGGAAAUGCGCGGCUUAAGAGCACAUGCUGUUGAGUUAGAAACCAAACUGGGACUAUGACCUCAGCUCUAACACUGAGUGGAAGGCUCUUUCUGUUCCUCUCAUGCUGCUCUUCCACCAGAGAGAUCAUUUUCUGGAUCCUGUUUGAUUUGAGAAGCAGCUGACAUCUGGGAUGAGCUUUCUCCUCUAUGUCUCCAGGAAAAAGAUCUGGAGAUGGUGGGAGUGCGGAACCGAGCGCCUGAGAAAUGACCACAGGACCAAGAACAGCCAACAAGCUGCUGGGGACCGUCAUUGCACCGGCCUGAUGAUGGGAUAAUUAACACAAAAGCCGUGUCUAGGAGCGAAAGACACAAGCAGCUCUUGGGAGCGGUCACUAAAGGCAGUUUCUUAAAAGCCCUGAGAAGUAUGAUUUGAAAGAGACUGCUUCUGGAAUGUCGAGGCCUAUAUGUUGCAAUACUCAUUUUCUAGUCUUUUCUGGGGUUUAGCUGGCCCUUGUCUUCCAUUCAUGGUAGCACUAAGACCAAGAACUACCUGAGCUCUCAGAGGUCCUGGAGUGAACAGGCCAGUGUUUUAACAACUCAUAAGUCUCUGAGUGGGUGCUGUGUCGAUGGACGUUUAAGCUAAUCUUUCAUCCCCGAGAAAUUGCAUCUAUAAAAGUUGGGUUCUGCAUUUGAAAAACUUGGAUCAGUUGGUUAUCCCAGAAACAAUACCCCCCCACCCCUCCCCGACAAUGAACCUUUAAAAUCCUGGUAAAAACCAGAGUUCUCUUGCAUCAACCUUUUGUCCUGAGUGUUGAGCAGGAAGAUGCUGCCUGGUGGAAGGAGGAAGGAAAUGAGUGAGAUUCCUCUUGUAGAUUACCUCCAAGCUGUCACCAAACCAUGCUGCUCCCUUCAGAACAGCCUCAGAAAGACGGGUGACCUUCAACUACCCAGGACUUCCCCACUAUGCCCCACAUGAAUCCUCACCAUGUUUGCCAUUUAAUC